rnacentral:tRNA from 1 species
GGGUUAAAAAGCAAAAAGGCAUAAGAAAAGGACUCAUAAUCCGUUGGUGCCGUGUUCGACUCACGGGAGGCCCACCA